UCGUGUUGAAAUUCCUUUUAUGAGCAAAAGUUCUUAUUUGUUAUUUGUUUUCCUUAAAACAUCUCCAGGAAUACCUUCAGGGUAUCAACAAUUCCUUUGGGAUCCUUUGAGGAUUUAUCAAAAGUUUUCUGGAAUGUUCACAGAUAGCUGAUUCUCAAGGCAUUCUAAGAAUGAUUUUAGUAAGAAUUCCUUGAUACAUUCCUCUAAUUCUAAUUCUAAAGGAUACAAUUAGAAUGCAACCCUAUCAAUGAACAUUUAUGAGAUUUUAUCAGGAACUCCCCCAGGAAUUUUCAUUAGUACUUCUUCACGAGUUUCUCAAGAAUUUAAUAUUAACCCUUCAGGCGCGCGCUGUUGUAAAAAGUACAACACUACCAAAAAACCUCCCUUUUCGUAUAAAGCGCGAGCGCGGUGCAGUUUCGGUUGCUUGAUGGCGCGCGUCCUGGAAGGUUAAGGUUUAAAAAAAGUUAUGUUUAAAAGUUUAAAUUGAAAUGCUUUGUAAAUAUUAUUCUGGCCCAAAUUCUACAUAAACCUUUUGUGCCACCUUUAAAUAUUAACCGAAAUCGUUUAUUUUUGUACAUCUCACUUGUUUGGACCAGUAAAUCAUAUCCACUUGGGAAAUCAUAUCCCAGGGAGAUUUUUCGAAAUUGGCCCCACCCCAGUAAUACAUGGAGAAAUAUCUGGAGGAAAUGUUGAAGGAAUCUCUGUAUAAUCUCCUGCAAGAAAUUACGGAAGAAUCUCUGAAGGUAAUAGUGCAAGAUUUUCUGGAGGAAUUCCUGCAGGGUUUUCUUAAUGACUAUCUGAAGCAAUUUCUGGACACAUUCAUGUACGAAUUUGCAAUGGAAUUCCUUGCGGUGAUGGAAUUACUCUCAUCAUGAAGCAAUUCGCGAGUGUAAAGCCAACACAAGGCUUAUUCACGAUUCCGAGAGUAAACUGCCUGCUUCGUGAGUAAGACACAAAACAAAAACAGAAACACUCAUGAGUUUUUAUUCGUGAAGAAUUAGUGAAGGUGCGGGAAGUGCAUUUUAUUGUUAUUAUAAUAGAAAAUCCAGUGAUUAUCCAAUAUAAACUAAUGCUUUAUGCUCCAUUGUUUCUGAAAAGCGGCACUGCCUUAACGACAAAAUGCAAAAAACUCACGAAGCUUCACGAAUCACAUGCGAGUGCUUGUCAGCUUCGUUUACUCACGAAUAAAAAAGUGCGUGUAUUCUCGGGCCCCUGUUGUUCACGAGUACGUUUGUUUUGGUUUGUGUCUGCUCAGCUGCUAUCUUCAUCAUUUUCCAUCUCUGAUCCCUUGAGCAAUUCCUGAAAAAACCCUUGGGGAACGUGUAGAUGACGUUGGUUACCAUACAGCAGGCUCUAUCUUGUACUUCUUCUUCUUUCUUCUUGGCGUAACGUCCCCUUCGAUAUGAAGCCCUUUUCUCAGCGUUGUUAUCUACACACUUAGAAAAAAACACCGACUUCGGUAAUAUUUCACCGAAAUCUCAACCGUUAUACUAUUUUACCGGAAAAAAUCGAUGAAGUUAGUUUUAUAUGAGCACUUCCAUAGUUAUCUACCAAUUUAUCUACCAAUGAUCAUUUUGCAUGUGCAUAUCGUGUAGCAGGUACAUAGACACUGUAUGUCCAGGGAUGUCAAGAAAAUCCGAAUUGACCGGGAAUCGAACCCGUCAUGAUCAUGCUGAAUACCUACGCCUUAGUAGCUGUUGUUACAGGGACCCUUAUUAGGAUCGUGAAAUAUUCGAAUAUAUGACACACCUAAUAACGAAAAAGUAGCGCAUGAUUUAGAAGAACAAUGUAAGGAUCGGAGAAUGAUCUGAGCUUCUAUCACACAUAUGAACGUCAGAGGUUUCCCAAAUUGAGUUUAGAUUAUCUGAGAAUAGGUGUGAUUAAAUGAAAAAUACCAGCUGUCACUAUACUGCGUAAAUAAUUUGUUUACAAUCGAAAAACUGUCGUUAUCAAGGCUUGUUCAAACGUUGAACUGUACGCGUCUCGCAAACACAAAAAGAAAAAUACUGAGUCUAUGAUAAACAAUACAAAAAAAAAAUUAGUUGAAGUUGUAUUCCUCUUUUUGCUCGAUGUAUUGUUAACUUUUCAAUGAGUAAUUCACACUUCAUAUCUGACAAUAGCGUUUUCUAGACGUACAUCAAGUUCGACUUCCAAACGCGUGAAAAUUGGUCGUUCGUUCACAUAAUAAAAAUAUAAUCAGUGGCACAACAAUUUGUGUAUCAAGUGUGGUUUCUCGUGUUCUGGUCUGGUAGUUUUUUCUAUUGUUGAGCUACUGUUUUGGACAAAUAUUUGCAAACCGUUAUUGCGGUGUCCAACCAACUAGGAUAUAAAGCUUGAUCUGUGCUAGUUACUCAGUUAGUAGUUCGGUGCGUUGUCAGCUAGAGUGAUAAACGGUCGGUUGUUACUCCAUUAGUUCAAUCCAACAAUUGCGCGGAAAGUGUUACAUUCGCCCGCAUAUACCCCUUCAGUAUUCAACAGAAGACAUGAGUUUCUCAAGCAAGCUUUCGUUGGUCGUUCUGCUCCUGGCAGUAUCGUUUGUCCUGAUAGCAUCAGGACAUCUCAACUGUACUCCUUUAAAUAGUACCUAUGUCGUUUGUCAAGUAAUGAACGGAACCCAAUUUGGAUCGAGGGAAGGUCACCAUGGAGGACGAGGUCGCAGGAUGAUUGCCGAAUUGCUCAAUGUGGCUGAGGCUGGACAAGAUGCGACCGAUUGAUUGUUCGUUGGGAGCAUCUGACAGUGAUUUCUACCUUCUUUUCAAUAUUUACCUCAACAUAUGGAUGUCAUUUGUUGAAAAAUUCAAGAAAGAUUAUUGUGAUUUGAUUAAUGGUGUUGGUUCUUUUCUUAAAGAUAGAUUCUUUGACAAUAAAUCUAGUACAUAGUUCAA